rnacentral:rRNA from 1 species
GACGAACGCUGGCGGCGUGCCUAAUACAUGCAAGUAGGACUCAGUUGCGAACGGGAGAGUAACGCGUAGGCAACUACCUAUGAGAGGGGGCUAACUAUUGGAAACGAUAGCUAAUACCGCAUACUAGUAGAUGGACCUGCUUUGUAAUAGCUAGUAGGUAGGGUAAUGGCCUACCUAGGCAACGAUAAAAAGCCGACCUGAGAGAGUGAUCGGCCAAGCUGGGACUGAGACAAGUCCCAGACUCCUACGGGGGGCAGCAGUAGGGAAUCUUCGGCAAUGGGGGGAACCCUGACCGAGCAACGCCGCGUGAGUGAAGAAGGUUUUCGGAUCGGAAAGCUCUGUUGUUAAGGAAGCGGUACUUAACCAGAAAGGGACGGCUAACUACGUGCCAGCAGCCGCGGUAAUUC